rnacentral:rRNA from 1 species
CGUGGGGGAUACCUUAGCUAACGGCGAGUGAAGCGGUAAAAGCUCAAAUUUGAAAUCUGGUACUUUCAGUGCCCGAGUUGUAAUUUGUAGAAUUUGUCUUUGAUUAGGUCCUUGUCUAUGUUCCUUGGAACAGGACGUCAUAGAGGGUGAGAAUCCCGUUUGGCGAGGAUACCUUUUCUCUGUAAGACUUUUUCGAAGAGUCGAGUUGUUUGGGAAUGCAGCUCAAAGUGGGUGGUAAAUUCCAUCUAAAGCUAAAUAUUGGCGAGAGACCGAUAGCGAACAAGUACAGUGAUGGAAAGAUGAAAAGAACUUUGAAAAGAGAGUGAAAAAGUACGUGAAAUUGUUGAAAGGGAAGGGCAUUUGAUCAGACAUGGUGUUUUUUGCAUGCACUCGCCUCUCGUGGGCUUGGGCCUCUCAAAAAUUUCACUGGGCCAACAUCAAUUCUGGCAGCAGGAUAAAUCAUUAAGAAUGUAGCUACUUCGGUAGUGUUAUAGCUUUUUGGAAUACUGUUAGCCGGGAUUGAGGACUGCGCUUCGGCAAGGAUGUUGGCAUAAUGGUUAAAUGCCGCCCGUCUUGAACCACGGGACCAAAUAUU